rnacentral:rRNA from 1 species
AUGGACCAGCGAGAAUCCCCAGGAUCUGAACGUGCUGGCGAGCGUGAUGAGAUCCCAGGCGAUCUCAUCAGCAGGCUUCCCGACGACCUGCUCUGCACCAUCAUAUCUCUUCUUCCCACCAAGGACGGCGGACGCACGCUGGCCGUCUCCCCCCGAUGGCGUGAUCUCUGGCGCUCCGCGCCUCUCAACCUGGUGAUUCACUCCCCUGUCAACCCCCACUCCCCCUCCUCCGUCGAUCCCUCCGCCGUGUCCAGGAUACUCUCCGAACACCUUGGCCCCACCCGCCGAUUCUUCUUCCGCGGCGGCGACCUAGGCCCCCAGGCGGAGAGCUGGUUUCAGUCCCGAGCCUUGGCCAACCUGGAGGAGCUCGACAUUAAGUUCCUCCCUGCACGACCCAAGGAGAUAUUCUCGCUGCCACCAUCCGCUCUCUCCUCCCCGGCCCUCCUGGUUGUCAAGGUCGCCUAUUGUUCUAUCCCCGAUGAGAUCUCCAUGGACUUCCCACUCCUCAAGCACAUCUCCUUGCUUGACGUUUCCAUCUCGGGGGACGUGUUCCACGGCUUGCUCUCUGCAUGCCGCGCCUUGGAGAGCUUUUAUAUGUCCAAUGUUCAUGCUGUGGGUUGCCUCCGUGUCAGUUCGCCGACUCUUAGGAGCAUCGGCUUCAGCAAAGAAUAUUGUGGGAACACAGAAAUCAUCAUUGAGGAUGCUCCUCUCCUUAUGAGGAUACUUGUCUCCCAGGGAAUAAGCCCAGACAGCUUGGCAAACUCCAUGCGUACUGUGAAGGUUUUGUCUCUCAGGUGUUCUGGACAGGAAUUGGAUGCGGUUCUUAACGUCCUGAGGUGGUUUCCCUGUCUGGAAAAACUCUGCAUCGUUCCACACCCCAUGUUGAUUCUUUAA